GACGGAGGGGGCAAGCGUUGUCCGGACUCACUGGGCGUAAAGGGCGCGCAGGCGGUAGCGUGCGUCGGUGCUGAAAGCCCCCCGCUUAACGGGGCGAGGCGUGCCGAUACGCCGCAACUGGAGGCAGGCAGAGGGUGGCGGAAUUCCGGGUGUAGUGGUGAAAUGCGUAGAGAUCCGGAGGAACGCCGGUGGCGUAAGCGGCCGCCUGGGCCUGACCUGACGCUGAGGCGCGAAAGCGUGGGGAGCGAACCGG
rnacentral:rRNA from 1 species